ensembl:lncRNA
AUGAAGACAGUUCUAGAUUCAACAGGAAAAUUAUUGCCUCCUCAAAUAUUAAUGACUUCUGAUUUCUCCGAGGCUGGGGAGCAGGCAGAGGCAUUUCUGGCGAUGUGCGAAUUUUCCAGGUUGGAGGAUAAGGCCGUGAAGGCGGCGGCGGCGGCAGCGGGACGAGCGGGACGGGCAGGGAUCGCUUCGCCGCCUUCCCAGCGGGCCAGGAACAAUGGUGCGAGGCGUGGGACGGAGCCCCUCUCCCUCCCGGGCGGCCCCCGCCGCCCCCGCGCCUCGCCCGCAGCCCGGGGGCCGCCACCUCCGGCUCCCCCCCCGGCCCCCCCGUCCUCCCUCCACCCACCCGGAGAAGUUUGUAAAUACCUUAAUCCACUCCCGGAGACGGGGGAUUAUGCCACAAUUUCCAAGCCGAAUUUCACUGAACACUUUUGCCCAGCUACAAGUGUGGGGGUAAAAUGGCGGUUCGGGUCCUGCGCUCCUCCAUCGCCCGGGGAACUUUCUGCGUGGCUGCACCUCCGUGCCCCGGCUGCGGCAGCCGGGACCUGUAAAAUGUCCUCUCCCUGCCGGGGGAGAAGCCGUUCAAAUGUGAAUUCGAGGGCUGUGACAGACGCUUCGCCAACAGCAGCGACAGGAAGAAGCACUCGCACGUCCACACCAGCGACAAGCCCUACAACUGCAAAAUGUCUACCCCGUUGCUCUCAAGGUAAUCUAGACAGACGCAGCUGAAAGCCUGAAUCUUAUGCCUUAGACAUCAAAGCAAGCUCGCACAAAGAAGUAUUUCUUCACAACGGUGAAUCUUCAUGGUAAGUUAGGAUUUCUAUGGCAAUAGGCAAGUCAUACUUAAAUAGUGAAAGGCGAAGUCUGGAGCCCGUCCAGUCUUUUCAUUAAGGACAUAAUAUUUACGUCUAACAGGCCCUUUUUCUUGUGUAUACAAGUAUAUAUUUUUGUUUGACGCGAACUAAAUCAUUUUCAUUUAAUUUCCGGUAAACAAAACCCACGCGAACAGGGCACUUGUUCCAGACCAUAAUAAAAAUGGAUAAGACUGUCAGGAAGAAAAGGCCCGCUUGAACCGUCGCCUCAGCUCACUUUUGUUUCUGCUUUCUGCCGGGAUCAGAGAAUGCGUUUGGGAUUUGAGGGCUAGUUUCUAAAGGCAAGGAAAUGGUUUUUAAGGGGGAAAAGAAAAGGAGAAAGGUCUAAUCAAGCUCGGGUUGUUCAAAGGGCCUGAUUUUGGGGUUGAAAGUGUGAGUUUUAUGGUGCAUCAGCAUGCCACGUUAGGAUCGCUAUGGUAAUGAGGAGAGCAAUAGCAAGCGGCCUUCAAAGGAGGCACACUCCAUUUGAGACAGUCUAUUAAGAUACAUUUGCACUGACCUUUGGUUUCAUGCUAGCUUAAUACACUCAAUCUGCUCCCCGCUAGAGAUAUACUUCCUCCACCUAAUGCACUUCGCCGGAGUUGGGGUCUGCCGGCCUUCGCCCUCCCCCCGAGGCCCGCUCCGCUCGGGUGCUGCAGCCCCGCUCGCCUCCUCCCCAAAGCAAGGGGCUGGGGCUGCCAGCCCGGCUCGGGGCCAGCUCCCCUCCCCUCUCCCCCGUAUUUCUGACCAGCUUCUCCCAGCGAAACCCGGCCACGAAGCCCGUGAAGUUCUUCCCUCUCCACCCCCCCCCCGUCGCGGGGGAAGAGAGGACGGGGACCGAAAGACACACACACCCCCCGCCGCCCUGGGCUGCUGCGGCCCCAGGGAGUAGGUGUGCCGAUGGAAGCCCCCCAGCACCCAAGGAAAGCGGGGCGAGGGCCGGGGGGAGCUGCCAGUGCCCCCCUUGCCUCCCCGCCCCGGCCGGCCGGCGCUGCGCGGCGGCGAGCGGAGGCUCCGCGGUGCGGGGGAACUUGACACCCGCACGGCCGGGGCCAUGGGCGCUGGGCCAUGGGCCCGGGAAAGUUAGAAGUCCAUGUUCCAGUAAUUGUCUUGUUGUUUAUUUUAUCCAAGUACCCUGGUGAAUAGGGGAAAAAUAAACACGAUGAAAAAAAAUUCAAACAGUUGAGUCGUCUUUAGUGCCAGCCCUUGUGGUUGAAUAAAAAGGAUGGUCCAAUUUCUAUUGAGCUGAGAAAUCUUUGAAGUGGGAGUUAUUAUCUGAGAAAUUCCUGCUCGUCGUCCUAACAACGCUGAUGAAACGUAAAAGGUUCUUUGUCAGCGAUUUGUUCUCCUCUCUGUCAAACUCACCCUGCCCGUUAGCUUUAAACCGUUUCUAAAGAGAUAAAAUCAAACUUUUAAAGAUAACUUUAGGGGUCCAGAGGGUGCAGAAAAUACCAAACUAUCGAAUCCUGUGUAUAGACAUACAUCUGGAUAUAUGUGGCUGUGGCUGUGUGAAACUGUCUGUGUACAGAUCACCAUAGAUGUCUGUAUGACCUUACUGUUCGCAAGUUGAAAUGAUGUCCAUUUUUUUGCAUUUUAUCCUCUGAACUUUUCCGUCUAAUACAUUAUUCCUACACAUAUGCUGCACAGAAUGCGAUUCUUGAGAGAAGGCAGAAAUGUUGGGUUUCAUUAACACCACUAUGUGACCAACAAACGUUUUCUUUCCAGUAGAGUGAAAGCAAGAGCGUAGACAUAAGAGUAAAGGCUUUGAUCAUUUUAACAGUCCGAAUACCUAUUAAGCAUGUAUAUACUGCAACGUAUCGAAGUUGUUGACGCAUUCAAAGCGAUGGCUUCCAUAUGCUCUCAUGUUUUAUUGUCCAUAAGUGUAAAGGUAGUCAAACUGCAUCCCUUUUGUAUCUUCAUUUUCUAAACAUCACGGUGUAUAUUGAAAUGAUUCCCUGGUCAAGGUUUAUUUAGUAGUUUCUCAUUGGAGAUCAUGCAGCGCUCUGUUCGUAACACGAAUUCCUUGAAGUUGUAACUCAUCAGUGUACUUCUGGUUUAGUUGCUACAGAAUGAUCUGAGCCCAAUCCUGCCAUUCUAAGCAACCCCAUUAAUUUAAUGGGACUUUUCCUAAGUAAAGACCCAGUCAAACUGCAGUGAAGUGGGUACUGUUAUUAUUAUUAUUAUUGUUAUUGUUAUUAUUAAUUCUGGAUCUUGUCAUAUUUAUGGGAAAAUCUACCACAUUCCUUGUGAACUGUACAGAGGAGACGCCUCUGAAAAUGUAGCUCGCAAAAAAAAAAAAAAUUUGCAAUGCUGAUACGCUGUAUCUCUUUCCAGACUUCUUAUACUCCGUAUUUUCCUUCAUCACGUGUUUGGUAAUGAAGGAAUGUUCUGUUGUGUGUUUGAACAUACUAUUUAUUUUUAAUAUUUGGAUUUUUUUACAAUAAAUAUUUAUAAGCGUUUCAAUUCUAUGGUUAUUUUUACAAAUGUGCACUUUUAAAAUAUGUGUUUGUACUGAUGAUACCGAGCCAUUCCUAAAACACUGUGUAUCAACCUCGUCUUUCUGUUGUUUUUUUGUAUUAGUUGGGGAAAAAAAAUCCCCAAGCCGGUGUACUAUUAAUGUGGUGUACAAUCAAGUACUAAUGCGUGGUUUUUGUUGGUCUUUAACCUCUUUUUAAUGUUAAUCGUUUUAGGUUGGCAUUUGCAUUAAAAGAACAAAACAAAACACUUCUUUGGCUUCGUUUCUGAGAUAACAUUUUUCAGAUCCGAGACUUCAAAU